AAACCCUUUUAGACGGUUUCCAUCCAAAAUUCCGUCAGUUGACCAAAAAUUUAACUUUGUCCCCAUUUUUAAUAUUUUAGAAUGAGCAAAAGAGUAAUUUUUCAUUUAUUCUACAAAAAAUAAUUAAUUUAAAAAAUAAAAAACACACACCCAUCUUCUUCACACACUCAUCUUCUUCAACCCAAAAUUGCAGUAUGCAAUAGGGAGUGGUUUGAAACUUUGCUGAAGUGGGCGGGAUUUUCGGCGUUCAAACCCCAAAUUGGAGUCACUCCGGAUAGAUUCGAUUCGGUCAAACCCAAACCCAAACGUCUCUUUAAGUCAUAAGUCAAGCUCGGCAACUACCUUAAAUUACCGACCCUCCAUCGCCACCAUACGAUGAGCAUAAGCCCCAACAAAAGGCCCCCUUUCAUGGACACGUACAUAGACUGCUCAUAUCUUUCUGUCGUUGGAUUUUCUUGGGAAAAUGAAUGGAGUCUUUGGCAAUUUGUGUUGUUUCAGAUCUGCGAUUGACGUGAUACAGCGAUAUUGGUU
rnacentral:lncRNA from 1 species